rnacentral:lncRNA from 1 species
CUGACAUGCCCUCUUAAGGAGGGCUCGGCUCUCUGCUGGUGUUUGCUGCCUGUGCUGGGCUGGGGCAGAGGGGUGCCCACCGGGGCAGAGCCCACCCUGCCAGUAUAGACUCUGGGAGGACUAAGGGUGUGGUGGGCAUGCAGUGGUUGUGGAGGGCCGCCCUGCAGGCUUCUAACACCCACCUAUCUGAUGCAGAUGGUAAGAGCUGAGGGUCUGCAGAGAGCUGGCAGGCAAAUGAGAUAGGGGGCAGCAGAGAGAAAGGGGGAGCAGAGGAGGCCAGCGGAGGCCCAGCGUGGAAAAGGGAGGAGUCACAGAGGAGAGGCUAGCUGGGUCAAGUGGAAGGACCCCACACCAGGCCGCAGGACCAGGCACCGGGACCUCAGGCCUCCACCAGGAGGCACCAGACUGACCGGAAUGAUAACGACUUGCAGCGCUGUGUUGGCGUCCCCAACCACCCCUGUUUUCUGACAACAAGGGAGCGCAGAGACCGGAGCGCUGAACCCAAAUCCCUCAGCAGUUGCACUUCAUUAAGUCAAAAUGUGACAAGAAGCUUAGAGAGCAACUUGCAGAUCUGAUCGCACAGAACAAUCAGGAAACUUUCUAGGAGUUGGUUGGGGCUAGGGGAAGGGGGGAGGGGCAGAGAUGCCACGUUCCAGGACCAGGAUGCACUGGCCCCAGGCAGGUGGCCUGGUGGAUCACAGCAAGGAGGCUGCCUCUGGGUGGAUCUGGGACACUGGUGGGUGGUAGGGGGCGGCGAGGAGUCCCCAGUACUACAUGUUCAAUUCUCUUUUAUUUGGCAGGGCUUGGAAUGGAACCCAGGGCCUUGAGCACGCUAGGCACGCGCUCUACCACGAGCUGCAUCCCAGCACCAUUUCUCUCUCCUUGCCAAAGUAUCUUCUCCUGUCUGCCCUUCUCUGUGCCUGAUGCCUGUUCUGGCCCCUAUGAGUAGGUGGCAUACCCAAGGACUGGCAGAGUCAGGAAGUGGAUGUGGUCAGGAGGGAUUCUGCCAGGCCCAGGAAGAGGUAGAGCAGCUGGGAAAACCAGAGAGUGGGGGACCUCCUCUCAGGGAGGCUCAGGAUAAGCAAGACCCUUCUAGGCUAGAAAGGGGAAGGAAUAUGCUCGAGGGUCAUGGCAGAAAGUGCCCAAGGAAUGCCAGCGUACCCACACCGUCAGCGGCCCACCCCUCCAUCCAUCCUCCUGUCCGUCUGUCCACCCAGUGUUUAAUCCUAACUACUCGCAUCAGACAACCAAGGACCAGAAGGUUGAGGACAGCUAACAAAGCUCAUGGUGACAGCAACCUCGCGGCCCCUUCCUCCUGUCCAUGGGAAAGAUCUUGGCUCCAGAGGUGCCAAGCUACCAGCCCUAUUGGCCCAUGGUCUAGGGGCCUUCAAGGUCAAGAUGAGAAGCAGUACUGGCCAAGGAGUCAGCAAGAUUGUCCCAUAUGCUGGGAGGGGCUCAGCAGCGUUCUGACCAAUCAGGGCUGAAUAUGGGACUGCUGGACCGGUAGGCACAGUGGCCAGACAGAUGCCCAGAGAGACAGCAACUGCUCCCAGCCCUUUCCCAAGUUGACCCCAGCUCUCUCCCAGCCGGGUUCUGCGAGAUCAUCACAUGUUUAUUGAGCACAUAUUGUGUGCACCAUGCCAUGCUGGGCACAGGGAAGAAAAAGUAAGAGAGAUCCGAGACAGAGCUGGUGGCAGCUGAUCUGAACAAUGCCUCGAAACUUACUGCCAGCUGCUGGGAGGACCCCACUGAAGAUGUGCUCAGCACAAUGUCUGGUAUGGUAAGCACCUGCUCUCUGCUGCCAGGGUCCCCGUCUUUAAAAGCUGGGAGACAUCCAACACGUCUACUCCUAGCUAUAGACCCCAAGGAGGGAAAACAGGGACUCAAGAAAAAUCUCGGACACAAAUAUUCAUGGCAACACUAUUGGCAAUAGCCAAAAGGUGGAUACAACCCAAGUGUCCAUGAACUGAUAAAUGGAUCAACAUGUGGUUUAUCUACACCAUGGACUAUCACACAGCCAUAAAAAGGAACAGAGUCCUGGCUCAUGCGACAACAUAGGCACACCUGGAAAACAAGCUGAGCGAAAGAUGCGACAGGAAAGGCCACACGCUGACUCCAUUCAUAUGAAAUAUCCUAACAGAGACGAAAUCCAUGGAGACAGAGAGCAUGUUAGUGGUUGUGGGGCUGGGGCAAGGGGAGAGUGGGAGUGUGAUGGGUGCCAUUUCUGUUGGGGGUGAAGAAAGAGUUCCGGAACUAGGUAUCAGUGACAGGCAACUCUAGGAAAUGUAUUUAAUGACCCUGAAUUGUAUACUUUAAAAUAGUCACACAGGGAAAUGUUCUGGCCUGUGCAUUUUCUCACAAUAAAAAAGAAACCACUUUUUUUGUUUGUCUGUGUGUGGUGCUGGGGAUUGAACCCAGGGCCUUGUGAAGGUGAGACAAGCACUCUUCCAGCUGGGCUAUGUCCCCAGUCCAAAAAAUGAUAUAAUUUUU